rnacentral:rRNA from 1 species
GAUGAACGCUAGCGGGAGGCCUAACACAUGCAAGCCGAGCGGUAGAGAUUCUUCGGAAUCUUGAGAGCGGCGUACGGGUGCGGAACACGUGUGCAACCUGCCUUUAUCAGGGGGAUAGCCUUUCGAAAGGAAGAUUAAUACCCCAUAAUAUAUUUGAUGGCAUCAUUAGAUAUUGAAAGCUUUGGCGGAUAGAGAUGGGCACGCGCAAGAUUAGAUAGUUGGUGAGGUAACGGCUCACCAAGUCGAUGAUCUUUAGGGGGCCUGAGAGGGUGAUCCCCCACACUGGUACUGAGACGCGGACCAGACUCCUACGGGAGGCAGCAGUGAGGAAUAUUGGACAAUGGGUUAGCGCCUGAUCCAGCCAUCCCGCGUGAAGGACGACGGCCCUAUGGGUUGUAAACUUCUUUUGUACAGGGAUAAACCUACUCUCGUGAGAGUAGCUGAAGGUACUGUACGAAUAAGCACCGGCUAACUCCGUG